GUCCCUAAAAAUAAUAUUUAGCGAUAAAUGAUCUGCGUAAAGGUAACCCAUAUAUCAUCUGCCGCUAUCUCCUCGUUUACCAAUUGAUUGUCUGUUGGUGUAGAUAUGUAUAUUUACUGUUUGCUUAUCUGUAGCUAAAAACACUUUUAUCGUCAUACAGUCUGUCGCAAAAAAAUAGUCCCAGCCCACCUUGCAAUUUUAGCCCAGCCUAUGUGAACAUAAAAGAACCUACAGACUCUGUUUCUCCUCCAAACCCUAAAUCAGUGCCGCUGCCACCACCGCCCGCUCUCUCGGCUCCCUCCCCGAUUUGGUGAAUUCCCUCCCCCAAAUCACUCCAUCGUGCAGAUGUCCUCCUCCCCAAUGCCUUUCUCCAACCUCCCUCUCCUCGUUCCUUCAUCUCACCCUGCCUCCUCCCACGGUCCUCUGUCCUCAGCGUCUUUCUCCCGACAACAUCACUGAUGGCCGUGGUCCAUCUCCUCCUCGAUGGCGUGUUUGGAGGAGGCGGUGUCACCUGCUACUGCGAUCUGGCUGAGGGCAACAACUGCAAUUGGUGGUGCGGUGGCUGCUGCGAGGCUUCAAACGCUGCCGGUGACUGCUGCGACUAUGGUUGCUGCUAUUGCAACUUGGUCAUGGGCAAUCGAUGGCUGCGACCGCUGGUGACUUGGCUUCAGUUCAUGAGGAAGAUGAGGGUGGAGGCGGAGGACCAUGACACGAAUCCGGUCAGCGGCAACAGCUGCUUCAGCGCAUCCCUGUCCAACUUUGAGACUACGACACCAUGUCCUAGGCAAAGUUGAAGUAUAGUACCUUUGUUGUCCUUUGCUCCCCAACUCCACAACAAAAAACUGAAGGAGCAUUGUGGAAGGAUAUAUUUUAUGCUUCUAGUUAGCAAGGUGUUGCUUUUAUAAACUCUAGACAGUUAUCUGCUAAUGAUUUCAGAAGCUGAACAACAUCCAAAUGAUUUCUCAAACCAAAUGAGUGUGUGUUAAUUUCUGUGCACACGAUUUGUUAAUUUGUAACUUAUUAUUUUUCAACCUUGCCUUGUUCUAUAUAUAGAUGAAGAUGACAAAACAGCUACUAUCACUUCACUAUGUUUUUUGUCUCCAUGAGAUAUGUUCUGGUCAUGCAGAUAUGUUGUUCCUUUGAACCAUCUAAAUUAUUUCCUGAUUAUUUGUCAAACAGUUUCAGAUACAAGUAUCAUAGAGUUCUAAAUAUGUGCACUAAAAUGUAGGGAUUUUAGCUGCAUCAGCCAUGGAAGUGUCUCAAGCAUUUAUAUUCUAGUGUCAGAUUAACUUAUAAAUAAACUAUUGGUGUAGGUCAACCAAAGUAGCAUCUUCUGACAUCAGGUUGAAGUGUAUUUAUUAGUGCAAAGAGACUGGUUAGUUGAGACCAUCCUUUUAUCUAGUAUGGUAUUGUUUUGGUUUUUCUAGUGAUAGCGUGCAAACUGGUCUGCUUGCUUCAGUAGCACAUAGAGCCUAGACCGGGGAAGUCUGUUGCUGAAAUAAGAAACCUGCAGUAGGAGAAAUGAAAAUUACCACUAGGUUUUUUCUCCUAAGUGGAGGCAAUACUAGGCACCGGCCCCUGCUUGCCUGUGACCCAAAUGAAGGGCUGGCUGAGCCUGCGACCAAACUCUGCAGGAGCUAGAGCUAUAGCUCCCUGCUAUCAACUCGAUAGGAUUAAUAGAUACUAAAAGCCUGCCACACAGGAAUUCAUUGAAGUCGUACCUAUACAUGUGAUAUGCUGUCAGGUCAUAGUUUAUAGGUAAUAGCUAUACUAAAUAUGAUGGAGAAAGAAGGAAUUUGUUCAUAAAAUGAAAAUUAUAACUAUUACUUGCACACAUGUCUAACCACUAUGAACUGUGCUAAAAUAUGUAACUAAAGUUCACAACUUAGUAAGAAAAUUCCUGUAAUUUGGCUUGAUUCUAGAAAAUGGAUGUCUACACUUGC
rnacentral:lncRNA from 1 species